rnacentral:rRNA from 1 species
UACGUAGGGAGCAAGCGUUGUCCGGAUUUACUGGGUGUAAAGGGUGCGUAGGCGGCUUUGCAAGUCAGAAGUGAAAUCCAUGGGCUUAACCCAUGAACUGCUUUUGAAACUGCAGAGCUUGAGUGGGCGAGAGGUAAGCGGAAUUCCUAGUGUAGCGGUGAAAUGCGUAGAUAUUAGGAGGAACACCAGUGGCGAAGGCGGCUUACUGGACGGCAACUGACGCUGAGGCUCGAAAGCGUGGGGAGCAAACAGG